rnacentral:rRNA from 1 species
UACGGAGGGUGCAAACGUUGCUCGGAAUCAUUGGGCGUAAAGCGCCCGUAGGCGGCCUGUUAAGUCGGGUGUGAAAGCCCUGGGCUCAACCCAGGAAGUGCACUCGAAACUGGCGGGCUUGAAUAUGGAAGAGGGUCGCGGAAUUCCCGGUGUAGAGGUGAAAUUCGUAGAUAUCGGGAGGAACACCAGUGGCGAAGGCGGCGACCUGGGCCAAUAUUGACGCUGAGGUGCGAAAGCGUGGGGAGCAAACAGG